AAAGAAAUCUAAAAAUACAUGGAAGUCAAACUUUAUUUGUCAGCUUUGAUGGAGUGAACAUACAAAGUCCACACAGAAAACCGAGAGGUUUAAACCAGAAACCUUCUUGUGAGGUGACGGUGCUAACCACUGCACCACCGUGCCAUGGAAUUUAAUGAAAUCAGAGAGGACGAGGCUCCUGAAACAAAGGCCAGGCUAAAAAGAUGAUUCAGUAAACCAAAAACAUUUCCAUCUGUAGGGUCCAUCCGUCACCCUCCCUCUCUUUAGUGCUGGAGGUGCAGGCGGCGAGAGAUCCGGAUGUUCACCACCGGGAAGUCUUCAAACUGCUGUCCUGCGGCUGGACACGAAUGGAACUUUUUGACCAAUACAACCAGCUCUGCAGUGGCCACUGGAGGGCGCCAGUGCGCAGUCUGCCUAUUAGACCCUCUUUAAACCUGGCUCAGCUCAACUCAGUACCCCAGGUGGGCAACAUGGAGCUGUGUUUACGUUUGGUCAAUGGACGAGAUGGAGAUGUGCAGACUCUGGCAAAGCCUGACCCCACCAACACCACUCACUAUAUCUAGCUGUGGUGUCCUCACAUCCUGUGACUGUCCACGGAAGAGCCGCUCUGUCCCUUUCAGUGCCACAGCACACUGGAGGGGAUCAACUGUCCUCCCUUUUGCCCUGGACUGAUCACCAGGACCCUCAUACCACAGAGGCCAGGCAGAGCUGAAAACAUCCGAUUACUGUGUGAAGUAUAAAUGACAAUGAGAGCCUUUACGUUCCUUAUGCUGAAGUUGAAUCGUGCACGAGCUACAGAAGUUUGGUUAUGCAAGAAAUGCUCUUAGAUUGAGUAGCAGCAACCGUCAUGCCUGGAAAAUGAAGCCAAUGCCGAAGUGCCAAAACUAAUUCUUCGAGCGGCCACAGAAAAUUUCAAUCUCCGUAAGUCCCCAUGUUCAAAUGUCCAACUUCACAGCAGAAAUAAACAUGUUUACAGCCUGGUA